rnacentral:rRNA from 1 species
GACGUAGGGCGCGAGCGUUGUCCGGAUUUAUUGGGCGUAAAGGGUGCGUAGGCGGUUCGGUAAGUUUUGUGUGAAAUCUUCCGGGCUCAACUCGAAGCCUGCACAAGAUACUGCCGGGCUGAGUAUGGGAGAGGUGAGUGGAAUUUCCGGUGUAGCGGUGAAAUGCGUAGAUAUCGGAAGGAACACCUGUGGCGAAAGCGGCUCACUGGACCAUAACUGACGCUGAGGCACGAAAGCUAGGGGAGCAAACAGG